rnacentral:rRNA from 1 species
AAACAUGUCUUUUUGAGUUAGUUUUAAAGUCUGACCUGCCCACUGAAAUUUUUGAAUGGCCGCAGUAUUUUAACUGUGCAAAGGUAGCAUAAUCAUUAGUCUUUUAAUUGAAGGCUGGUAUGAACGGUUGGACGAAGUAUAAUCUGUUUCAUAUAAAAUUAUAGUAAAAUUUUAUAUUUUAGUAAAAAAGCUAAAAUAAAAUUAAAAGACGAGAAGACCCUAUAAAUCUUUAUAAUUAAUAAUAUAUAAGUUUUUUAGGUUGUUUUCUAUUUUUAUAAUAUUAAUUAUUUUGUUGGGGUGAUAUUAAAAUUUAAUAAACUUUUAAUUUAUUAAAUCAUUAAUUUAUGAAUUAUUGAUCCAUUAAUUAUGAUUAUAAGAUUAAGUUACUUUAGGGAUAACAGCGUAAUUUUUUUGGAGAGUUCAUAUUGAUAAAAAAGUUUGCGACCUCGAUGUUGGAUUAAGAUAAAAGUUAGGUGUAGCUGCUUAAUUGUUGAAGUCUGUUCGACUUUUAAAUUCUUACAUGAUC